GUUCCCAUGGUGUAGUGGUUAUCACAUCCGCCUAACACGCGGAAGGUCCCAGGUUCGACACCUGGUGGGAACA
rnacentral:tRNA from 1 species